UAAUUUGGCAUUGCCUUGUGAAAUUUAAUAUGGCAUGAUUGGGCCUUGUGGGUUGCUUUAUUAUUAUUUUCCCUCUCUCUAAGAAAAGGUCUGGGUAAGGUCCAUGUGGAAUAACACGAGGCAAAAGAAACGAGGACUCCAAGCUGUGGAAUGACACACAGGAGCUCAACAGAGCACAUACAUCUCAGGCUCCAGGUCUCCAGUUUCUUCACCUUCCAAAGCAGAUUCGCACCAGCAACUCUCCAGUGAGCUUCCAGGCCUUCAACACUGGACUAGCACUGCGUCCUUGAUCCCUCUUAUUCUGUGGCUUCUAUCUUCCUGGGUUGAGCAGCUGCAGGAUCUUAUGGCAUGGAGGUGGCUGUUGUGGACUCUCCCACUUCUGAUCCUCUGCCUGGAGGUAUAUCUGUGGAGCACGGAGAUUAGGAGGAGCCAAUCACACCUCUAGAUUGAAGAAGUGAGGAGGAAGAAGGAACAGAUUCAAGAGCCAGUUCCAAGAAAGAACAGACAAGGGCUC